UCGAAGGUGAACCUGCGGAGGGAUCAUUA
rnacentral:rRNA from 2 species